rnacentral:rRNA from 1 species
GAUGAACGCUAGCGGGAGGCUUAACACAUGCAAGUCGAGGGGCAGCAUAGGGUAGCAAUACUCUGAUGGCGACCGGCAAACGGGUGAGUAACGCGUAUGUAACCUACCCUGUACAGGGGGAUAACCCGGAGAAAUUCGGACUAAUAUCCCAUAACAAUAUCCGGGGGCAUCUUUGGAUAUUUAAAGUUCCGGCGGUACGGGAUGGGCAUGCGUAACAUUAGCUAGUUGGUAAGGUAACGGCUUACCAAGGCUUUGAUGUUUAGGGGUCCUGAGAGGGUGGUCCCCCACACUGGUACUGAGACACGGACCAGACUCCUACGGGAGGCAGCAGUGAGGAACAUUGGUCAAUGGGCGCAAGCCUGAACCAGCCAUCCCGCGUGCAGGAAGACGGCGCUAUGCGUUGUAAACUGCUUUUCCAGGGAGAGAAACUUGCGCACGUGUUGCGCAAUUGACGGUACCCUGGGAAUAAGCAUCGGCUAACUCCGUG